UACAGAGGGUGCGAGCGUUGUCCGGAAUCACUGGGCGUAAAGGGCGCGUAGGUAGUGACCUAAGCGUGCGGUGAAAGCCCGAGGCUCAACCUCGGGUCGGCCGUGCGAACUGGGUCACUGGAGCAGAAUAGAGGCAGGUGGAAUUCCGGGUGUAGCGGUGGAAUGCGUAGAGAUCCGGAAGAACACCGGUGGCGAAGGCGGCCUGCUGGGUUCUGGCUGACACUGAGGCGCGGACAGCGUGGGGAGCAAACAGG
rnacentral:rRNA from 1 species